AUGACUGGUUUCUGGAUUGUAAUUUUGAUCUUCAGCACCAUGUAUACAGUCCAACCUAGUAGACGCUUUGUUACUGCACAAUCCCCCACAGAGUCACCAGUUUAUCAGCCUGAUAAAGAGCUCAGUGUGAAUAUCGGAGACUCGGCUACUCUACGGUGUUGUAUUUCUGAAAAUGAAGUCGGGAUGAUUGCCUGGGUUAAGCAACCAAACAGAAAAAAACCUCAGAUUAUUGUCAGGGUAUAUAAAAGUGGUGGAGAAACAUUUUUCAAUGGAUUCCAAGACUCUCAUUUCCAAAUAGAAAAAUCUUCAAACUGCCACAAUUUGACAAUUUUAAACAUCAUUCAGUCUGAUGAAGCCAUGUACUACUGUGCACUGACGAGACCCAACCUUGUGUUUGGAGAUGGAACUUAUUUAAAAAUUAAAGGUGAUCAUGUUACUAUUGCAUCAGAAACAUCUAAACCAGCUCUGUAUGAUAAUUCAGUGGUGUGUGAACCAACACUGCAUGGAAACAGCACUAACAUGAACACACACGAGAAAACAGAACCGGAAAUGAUCAGAUCUCUACACUCGACAGUGCUCGGUUUGGGAACGGCUUUGGGUUUGUGCGCACUUCUGAUUUUCUGUCUCAUUUAUUUCACACUGAGGAGAAGAAAAUGUGAUAAAAGUAAGUGAUUUUGUCAUCACAAUAAUUAAAAACUUUAUAAGUACAGUUAACUCUAGUUUGACCAAAAAGACUAAUAGGUGUGUUUCUGUAUUAAUAGUGAAAGCUUGUAUAGAAGAUUCUCCAGGAAUGAAGCAGGAAUCUGAAUCUGAAACACUGAAUUACGCAGCUGUGCAAUUUACCAAGAGGAAAGCCAAAGCUGAAAAAAAGAAAACUGCCUCAGCAGAUGAGUGUGUUUACGCCGAUGUGAAAAAAACUGUAAGAUGUAACAGAAAUAAUUCAUAACACAUGAUACUAUUACACUGCAACAACAGUGAAAAUAUUUUACCAAGUGAAAAUAUAUUGACUAGACAAAUGUAAUCCAUAUUUUUCAUUACAAUGGUAU